GGACAAGUAUUGGUUUCCUGUUUCUAAGAUGCCGAGAAAAGGUGAUGAUUGGCCCACUGUGAAUGAUAUGGUUAAAAAGAAUUAUCGUUUGUUGGUUUUUACUUCUGACUCUUCCAAGGAAGCUGCUGAAGGAAUUGCUUAUCAGUGGAGAUACAUGGUUGAAAAUGAGCCUGGAGACCCUGGAGUGGUGCCUGGCUCAUGCUCCAGUCGUAAGGAAUCAAAGGCACUUAAUUCCAGAAGUGCUUCUCUGUUUCUAAUGAAUUACUUUCCCACAGUUGCCGUACAAGAUGGAGCCUG
rnacentral:misc_RNA from 1 species